AUUUCUAUCAAACGUCAAUUUGAAUAUUGAAUUUUGAAGUUGAGGAAUCUAAUGUUUUUAAAAGAUAUCACAAAAUUUAGCACACCGCAAUUCUUAACUAAUUAAUUGAAAACUCCAGACGUUGAUCGAGGUGGAGGCGAUUUUGAAUCAUUCUUAUGACGAUGAUCGAGAAAACCGACUACAAUUUUCACAAGCUAGUGAAAAAGAGACGAUCUAUCGAGAAAAUGUGUUCCAGGAACUAGAUUUAUGUGUGUAAUGGAAAACUUAUAGAUCUGAAAAGUGCAUCACCGGAAAAGAAAAGUUUACGACACGUGUGAACAAACAAUAACUUAGGAAGUCAGAGCUAUAAACGAUGUAACUGUAAAACUAAAUUCAUGACCAACAAAUAUAAAUUUAAAGCUA